rnacentral:rRNA from 1 species
AACGAACGCUGGCGGCAGGCUUAACACAUGCAAGUCGAACGAUCCUUCGGGAUAGUGGCAGACGGGUGAGUAACGCGUGGGAACCUUCCCUGUGGUACGGAAUAGCUCCGGGAAACUGGAAUUAAUACCGUAUACGCCCUUUGGGGGAAAGAUUUAUCGCCAUAGGAUGGGCCCGCGUUGGAUUAGCUUGUUGGUGAGGUAAUGGCUCACCAAGGCGACGAUCCAUAGCUGGUCUUAGAGGAUGAUCAGCCACACUGGGACUGAGACACGGCCCAGACUCCUACGGGAGGCAGCAGUGGGGAAUAUUGGACAAUGGGCGCAAGCCUGAUCCAGCCAUGCCGCGUGUGUGAAGAAGGCCUUCGGGUUGUAAAGCACUUUCAGUGGGGAAGAAAAGCCUGGGGUUAAUACCCCCGAGUCUUGACGGUACCCACAGAAGAAGCACCGGCUAAUUCCGUG